AGAUGUUUAAAUCUUUACGUAUUUUUCCAUUUUUAAUGUAAAACGGCAAUGUUUAAUAGAAGAACUUGGACAAAUAGUCAAAUAGUUAUAUUUAUGUUUUUUUUUUCUUUUUUUAAUAAAAUGGUAAUGUUACAUUAUGAAGAUAACCCUUUUUUUUUAUUGAACAAUGGUAAUCUUACAUAUGUUUAAUGUAGUUUUUCCAUUUUUUUAUGUUGUAUGUUUACAUAUUAUUGUUAUUUUUAAAUGUAAAAUGGUAAUUUUACAUAUGUUUAAUGUAGUAUUUCCAUUUUUUAUGUUGUAUGUUUACAUAUU
rnacentral:lncRNA from 1 species